GGCCUGCACGGUGGGGGUCUGCUUCAGGUCCUCCAUGUGCAGCUGCGGAUUGUCGGUCAGCACCGAGUCGGGGUUCAACACCCCGUGCGGGUCG
rnacentral:tRNA from 1 species